rnacentral:rRNA from 1 species
UACGUAGGGGGCAAGCGUUGUCCGGAUUUACUGGGCGUAAAGAGCGCGUAGGCGGAGGGAGAAGUCCGGUGUGAAAGCCCACGGCUCAACCGUGGAAGGUCGCUGGAAACUCUUCUUCUUGAGGGCGACAGAGGGAAGUGGAAUUGCUGGUGUAGCGGUGAAAUGCGUAGAUAUCAGCAGGAACACCCAUGGCGAAGGCAGCUUCCUGGGUCGGCCCUGACGCUGAGGCGCGAAAGCGUGGGGAGCAAACGGG